CUUCUCACAUCGCUAAUAAAUCAAAUUUCAGGUUUUAAUAUUCAUAUAUAUAAAAAAAAAGUGAUGCAAACAAUUAUUGUGCUUCAUCUUCAGGGCAUGAAUGCCAAGUUAGUCGUUCUUCAUAAAAAGCAAUUACAAUCUGAGGACACUUCACGUUAGCUUCUUUGGCCAGCACCAGAUCUGCCUCAUCAGAGUCUUUCCAUUUCAUGAGGAACAUAAGCUCUCCGCUGCUAUCCGUAGCCCCAAUUAUCCUCUCAGGAUCAAGACCCCUCGCAAACCCUCUCGGUUUAUCAACAGAAUCACGUUUUUUCUUUGAUUUACUAUCAUCAGAUUCGCUAUCUGACAGUGAUUUUCUUUUCGCACCAUCUGUUUUUUCUUUACCAGCUUUCUGAGAGUUCAGAAAAGCUUCAAUUAGCUCUGGACAAUCUAAGUUUUCUUCAGGCUCCCACGUGUUGUCAGCAUCUGUAAAUCCUUUCCACUUCAAGUAGUAUUCCACCUUUCCAUUCACAACACGUCUGUCCAGGACUUUCUCCACAACAAAUUCUUCAGGCUCUGCCUCUUCAACUUUUUUACCUUUGCCAUUUUGUUUCUUUCCCAUUUUGUGCAAUGUAGUUUUAUUGGAGGCCAUUUUUAUUGCAGACUUGCAGAGCUUUUAUUCACUGCCGCUCGGCCGCGCCGCUCCCCCGUCUCCUCCCGGCUCUCGCCCUGCGCGCUCUGAGCGGCGGCGGCAGCGGCGGCAUCCGAGGGGC
rnacentral:lncRNA from 1 species